rnacentral:rRNA from 1 species
CCAGCCGCCGCGGUAAUACGUAGGUGGCAAGCGUUGUCCGGAUUUAUUGGGUUUAAAGGGUGCGUAGGCGGUCUAUUAAGUCAGUGCUGAAAUAUCCCGGCUUAACCGGGAGGGUGGCAUUGAUACUGAUGGACUUGAGUGCAGUCGAGGUAGGCGGAAUUGACGGUGUAGCGGUGAAAUGCUUAGAUAUCGUCAAGAACACCGAUAGUGAAGACAGCUUACUAGACUGUAACUGACGCUGAGGCACGAAAGUGUGGGGAUCAAACAGGAUUAGAUACCCUGGUAGUCCACACCGUAAACGUUGAUUACUCGAUGUGUGCGAUAUACAGUACGCGUCUUAGCGCAAGCGAUAAGUAAUCCACCUGGGGAGUACGCCGGCAACGGUGAAACUCAAAGGAAUUGACGGGGGCCCGCACA